ensembl:snRNA U6 U6 spliceosomal RNA
GUGCUUGCUUCAACAGCAUACAUACUAAAACUCGAAUGAAAACAGAGAAGGUUAAUACGGCCUCUAAGCAAAGUUUACAGGUGAAUUGAUGAAAUGUUCUGCCUUUUA